AUUGAACGCUGGCGGCAGGCCUAACACAUGCAAGUCGAGCGAGCGGCGGACGGGUGAGUAAUGUCUGGGAAACUGCCUGAUGGAGGGGGAUAACUACUGGAAACGGUAGCUAAUACCGCAUACCAUCAGAUGUGCCCAGGUGGGAUGAGCUAGUAGGUUGGGUAAAGGCUCACCUAGGCGACGCUCCCUAGCUGGUCUGAGAGGAUGAUCAGCCACACUGGAACUGAGACACGGUCCAGAUUCCUACGGGAGGCAGCAGUGGGGAAUAUUGCACAAUGGGCGCAAGCCUGAUGCAGCCAUGCCGCGUGUGUGAAGAAGGCCUGCGGGUUGUAAAGCACUUUCAGCGGGGAGGCGUUACCCGCAGAAGAAGCACCGGCUAACUCCGUGCCAGCAGCCGCGGUAAUUC
rnacentral:rRNA from 1 species